rnacentral:misc_RNA from 1 species
GAUGAAGAACGCAGCGAAAUGCGAUAAUUAAUGUGAAUUGCAGAAUUCCGUGAAUCAUCGAGUCUUUGAACGCACAUUGCGCCUCAUGGCAUUCCGUGAGGCAUGCCCAUCUCAGCGUUAGAAAAUAUUCUCAAAUUUUAGUUUUGUGCUAAAAUUUGGAUCAUAUCAAAGAAGCUAUUACUAUUAUUGUGAUCGCUCUUUGGAAAUUGAUAGGUCUUUGAGUUGCUACUCAUAGAACGUGAUGAAUCUUUCUUCGUUCUAUUGUAAUUCACUCUGGUAGUCCUAAAACUUGUAUGCCUGUGGCAUAUCUUGUAAUUUGACCUGAGAUUGGGUAGGGAUACCCGCUGAACUUAAGCAUAUCAAUAAGCGGAGGA